GAUGAACGCUGGCGGCGUGCCUAAUACAUGCAAGUCGAGCGAACAGACUAGGAGCUUGCUCCUCUGACGUUAGCGGCGGACGGGUGAGUAACACUUGGAUAACCUACCUAUAAGACUGGGAUAACUUCGUGAAACCGGAGCUAAUACCGGAUAACAUGUUGAACCGCAUGGUUCAACAGUGAAAGACGGUCUUGCUGUCACUUAUAGAUGGAUCCGCGCCGCAUUAGCUAGUUGGUAAGGUAACGGCUUACCAAGGCAACGAUGCGUAGCCGACCUGAGAGGGUGAUCGGCCACACUGGAACUGAGACACGGUCCAGACUCCUACGGGAGGCAGCAGUAGGGAAUCUUCCGCAAUGGGCGAAAGCCUGACGGAGCAAAGCCGCGUGAGUGAAGAAGGUCUUCGGAUCGUAAAACUCUGUUAUUAGGGAAGAACAAAUGUGUAAGUAACUAUGCACGUCUUGACGGUACCUAAUCAGAAAGCCACGGCUAACUACGUG
rnacentral:rRNA from 1 species